CUAUCGGAGUGUAUAAAGGAAUGACAACUAACCUCCUGUAUCUCACAUUGUACCAAAGACAAAUCUGCCCUCUGACCUCUGGUUUUAAACCUGGUUUUUAUUUAUUUUCAUUUGUUUUGGUACUGGGAUUGAACUCAGGGCCACUCGAUCACUGAGCCACAUUCCCAGUCCUAUUUUGUAUUUUAUUUGGAGACCGUUUCUCAUUGAGUUGCUUAGCACCUUGUUUAUACUGAGGCUGACUUUGAACUCAUGAUCCUCCUGCCUCAGCCUCCCAAUCCUCUGGGAUUGAGCUGCUGGGAUUACAGGCAUGGGCUAAACUCUGGCUUUUAGAGGCAGCUGGGUGAAUUUGCUCCCAGCCUCAAGUGGGAGCUCCACAAGUAGAGCUCCCACUUGAGGGAAAUCAAAAAAGAUUUUGCAUCUAAUCUUUUAUAAGAGGGUCCUCACUGACAUUUGUCAUCACUACUGCCUCUAUGUGUCUUGUGUAUAAUCCCUGAGAGAGAAGAGCCUGUUCAGCAGGUGUGGCUGAUAAAUAGGCCAUGGUGAAUACUCUUUAGGAAUGUGUUUUUUCUAGUAAUCUAAAUGUUGACUGAUGAACUCUUUAUUAUGAUUUGGUGGAGGAAACUGCUUUAUCAGAUGAGAAGUUUAUCCUAGAAUUAUUAAAUGCAUAGAGAGACUAGUUCCAUGUCUUUCAAUCUUGUGAACAACCAGUUUUUGUAUUAUAUAUUCUCUGGCUUAUACCCACCAGGCCAAUGUACAAAUAACCCUUGUAAUGUGUUAACAUUUUAUUAAGAGAUGAAAUAGAAAGUGUUCCUAUGACACAAAAGCCCUUUACUUAAGGGGUACUGUGGGGUUAAGAAUGGUUUCUAUUCAAAUGGUUUCAUUAUGUUCUCCAUAAUGGGUGUGAUUGUUUAAUGAGAACAGAUUUGAGCUCAAAUUAUUGAACAUUAUUUGAGCAAUAAGAGCUCAAUAGACUAUGCCUUUUAAAGUAAUUAAUGUACGCCUUAGGGUAGGAUAACACAGAAAGAAACACUUAAUUGUCACCUUUCAUAAAAACAUAAUUUGCAAGAUGUAGGUUUGAAAGUACCAUAUUGUUCAUGUAACAGGGAAAAAAAAACACAGAAAGCUAUCCCUUUUGUAUAGUGGUCUAUUUCCUUUGAAGAAUUCCCUUUGUAGGCACAACUUUGUUUAAUAAAUUUCUGUUGAAAUCCUGUUAAAAGAAUGUUUCUUCCAGUUGAGGAAGAAUGACAUGCCUUCAGUUUUGCAUCUAAGGAACUUUUUUGUUGUGGCUCCCUGAUCUACCACUUGACUUGGCCUAAUCCUAGUUUUCUUGGAUCCAAUAUACCUUCUUUGAAGAACUUGAAAUAUUGCUGUUUCUUGCUUUUUUUUUUUUUUUAAUCAUCUGUUAAUAGUGGGAGAUAAAAUGCUAGACCUUUGUGCUAGACCUGAGAUACAGAGUACUUUGUAGCCUAUUUUGGAGAUAGCCCUAAGCAUUACAAAACAAAAUGCAAGGCAGUGUAUGUUUCCUUUUGUAAUAAUGGUGAGAAAAUAAAAAUUAGCUGAUACUGAGAAAGUGUGAGUCUGUAUUGUCUUUCAUCAGACCCUAGAUAAAAUUAGCUGUGAAGUUAUCUGGAAACAGAAUUUAUCCCAAAGACAUGCUACAACUUGCCAUAACUCCCUUUGUGUGACUACUGCUUUCUUAUUCACUGAGAAACUUUGUUCUUUGUAGACUUGUACGUUUUACUUCUGUGAAAUUGUGUUGGCAAAAACAAAGCAAACCAUCCCUUUUUUAUGUAGUUCACUUUGACACUGAGAAGUGGCUCCACUUCCAAAAGAAGUGCAGACCUUCAGAUGAAGGGUUCUCAAACACAACAUUUCACAUUUACUACUACUAAAAUGCUAAUUCAUUUAAAUUUCACCAAUGCCUCAAAUCUUUCACUUUCUACACUUCUUUCAUGUGUAGUUUCCUUUAUAGUCAUAGGUCAGAAAAUUUGAUUUUAUCAUUCUACAGGUUUGCUUCUGGAGGUUUUAGGCUGAUUGGAGUAGAAUAGAAGCAUGUUCUAUAUGUAAAGUGCACAGGAUAGAAAAAUUGAUUUUAACUCAGUAUUUAUAAACAUUCAAGAAGUCAGUUGCAUUAAUAAUUUUUCACUACUUUUAAGUUCAUUUGUUAUCACAGAUAUGAAACCAAGAAAAGAUUGUUUCCAUUUGAUAAUUCUUAAUUUAGCUUUAAAUAUAUACAUGUGUAUAUUUAUACAAUAUAGCAUUUAUCCUUGUACUGUAUCCUGUUUUUUACUUUUAAUGGUUUUCCAUGUAGGCAUUUUUCUUCCACAAAGUAUUAUCUGUUCCUGGAGGGUGAAGUCCAUGCUUCAUAUUUAACUCAACGUAUUUUUCAUCAUUUGGGCAUCCAGUAGAUGUUCAGUAAAUACUUUACUCAUUGAAUCAAAGAAGCUUCUAUUUUAGCUAUUCCCUUGGGACUUUCCCCAAAUUUUAAACUUAACAAAUUGUCUGUGGUAUCCUCUUCAUAGCAAUUGCACCUCUGCCUAAUACAGCACAAAUUACCCUUAGGCAAGGAGGCAUAGUGCAGUUGAAACUUUUUAUAGCUUCAUUUGUCUGCAGUCACCUAAAUGUCAAUGGAUAGAUAUGAUUGUCAUAAUUUUUGGUAAGUACAAAUAAGUCCCCCGUUAAUAGUAUCAUUAGAGAUGAAAUAGAUGCACAGGAACUAAAAGAGGUGAUAAACUGUCAGAUUGCACUCUUAGGAAAUACAGAGUGUCAUUGCAGUUUGAAAAUGUGCAGAAGUAAAUACACAAUUCCUCUCCAACCUAAUUUAUUUUUCCAAACCUUUACAUGUUUACAUUUGUUCAUCUAUUACUUUGGCUAGUCAUGGUGAAAUAAACCACUAAUUAACAAUAACUCAGGAAAACCAUUGAAAAUCAAUAGAUCUGAAUAUGGACACAGAAAAAGCAGCUUCCAUUUACUAAAUGUGCCCUCAAGGUGGGC
rnacentral:lncRNA from 1 species